AGAGAGAUGCAACUGCGAAAAUGGAAAAUGUGUUAAGUCAGGAGAAGAAUAUAAAUGUAUAUGCAACCCUGAUCAUGGAAUGUACUCGACUGGAGUUUGCAAAGCUUGUAACUGCGGAAAAAACUUCACCUGCACUUUUGAUAGAGGAAUAUUUUGGGAUACAACAUACUGCAUGUGUCGUGAAGGCUACUCAAUGGUCAAUAAAGAAUGCCUAAGGAACAAGAUACUGUGAAAAGAAGUUGAAAAUGGAAGACGAAGUCAUACGCGUUUUAAAAAUUAUCAAUAUUUUGAGAAUAUAAAAUAGCGAAAACUCUGUAAAGUGUCCUAAUGUUAAAUCCAUAAGUAAAACAAUUAUUCUUCGUCUUUACUUAAGACGGUAAAUAUAAUAAAAGAAAUUGCUGUGAAAUUUCAGAAAAUUUGGUGUGAAAU